rnacentral:rRNA from 1 species
AACCUUUACCUAGACUUGACAUCCCGAGAAUCUUCUGGAAACAGGAGAGUGCCCUUCGGGGAACUCGGUGACAGGUGCUGGCAUGGCUGUCGUCAGCUCGUGUCGUGAGAUGGUUGGGUUAAGUCCCGCAACGAGCGCAACCCUUGUCUUUAAUUGCCAUCAUUCAGUUGGGCACUUUAAAGAGACUGCCGGUGUCAAACCGGAGGAAGUGGGAUGACGUCAAAUCAUCAUGCCCCUUAUGACCUGGGCUACACACGUGCUACAAUGGUUGGUACAACGAGUUGCGAGUCGGUGACGGCGAGCUAAUCUCUUAAAGCCAAUCUCAGUUCGGAUUGUAGGCUGCAACUCGCCUACAUGAAGUCGGAAUCGCUAGUAAUCGCGGAUCAGCACGCCGCGGUCGAAUACGUUCCCGGGCCUU